UUAGAGCUGGGUUUGAGUAUUAACCGCACUAUAUAUGUUCUUCUCUUGUUCAUGGAGGUUUCUCUGCGGUUUCCUUCCACAAAGAGAGACAUGCAUGUCAAGUAUCAGAAGGCAAAACACAGACCUCACAGAGGCGACUUUAUUAAUUUCCAACAAAUGAUGUGUGAAACUGUGAGAUAUCAAUCACACACAACAUACAUCUCUCACACACUCUAUUGUGUAACAGGUUGCGGUUUAACAAAAUGUUUCUUUUAGCUGAAGUGAAUCUAAGACCAGCUGUUGAGCUCUGACUGUUGAAGCCUCUUUCUGCAGAUGCUUCACGCAAACACUGUCUGAAUAUUUCCUGAAUAGACAUGAAGUCACUGAAAGGCAAUGCACCACUGCUUUAAUGGAGCCAAUCACAUUCCUGACAAGGAACGCUCCCUCUCCUGGCAGAGCUCUGCAGUGCAAUCCAGUGUGUCAAAGAAAACGCCUGGUGACAUCUGAGGAUGUUUAACCCUGCAGGGCUCAUUGUUGCCAAAUUUGCUCCAUCUUUGCAGCGCUCUAAAAGAUAGAGCUGUCUCUUUUACAUUUCACAGACCCCGCAGAUGUCAGCCUCUUGUCUCAUCACAGGAAUCGAUUAUAGAGUCCGUUUGCCAUAAUGUGAUAUAUGCAUAUUAAAGUAAAGCCUCAAAGGCAACAGAGGGCUGGCUCUUUAAUAGAAUCCAGCUAUCAUCAAGAGUGAAUUCCUAGACCUGGAUGUAAUGGAAAACUGCCUGUGUGAUGUUCGCAAACCUCUCGUGUGGAGUCUAAAAGGCUGCUGGCUGCUGUUUCCAGGCUGCGGUCACAGGGGUGUUAUGGGUAGUCAACCUCAACACUCCUACCCUCUCUCUCUGUCAGGGGGUUGAAAGCAGGUUGAUGUCACCAAAUACACACAUUGCUGCAAAGUUAUGGCUCCAUCAUCAGGAAAGCAAUGACAGCUUCAUAAAGUUUGAUUUAAUCAGACAGGAGAAAUUGAACCAUUUUAUGACAUAAUCUACAACUCUGUGAUGAUAUAUCUUGAAUGUGAUGUGCAGCGGUGCUGAUUAGAAUUCAUCCCUUUGCGUGCGAUCCUCCAGAAUCUAAUUUAGAAAGCAGCUUGAAACAGAAAAAUCUUUAUAACGCAGCCACCUGCCUGUGUAUGCGUGUUUGUGUGUGCUCAUGUGCAUGUGAGUCUGUCUGCCUGCCUGCCUGUCGGGGUAUCUAUUAAUUUUCUUCUGUUUUCUGUAGUUCUAUUACACAAUGGCUGGCGCUGCAAGUUUAAUAUGUUGUACAUCUUUUUGUCUCAUUCCUUGCAGUGGGUUCAAUGUCAUCUCUUUGUUGUCUCGAAAUGCAAUCAAUGAAGGUCUUCCUACCCCAUCCACUGAAAGUCAAACCCAACCUAUCUGGAGCUACUCUGAGGCAUUCUGUCAAAUCUAAGAAUCAAGCCCAUAUUUCUUGGAGUCAUGUUGUGCUAGUCCUCACUCCAGUUUGUGUGCGCCCUCGCACCUAAUAUACAAAAUAUCUAUUGAAAUAUGCAUGAGGCCCAUGAUGCCUGCACUAAAAAUACACUCAAAUAGGGAAUACAUUGACAGCUCUGUUAUUGAGCUCUCCUUGAGAUUCCUCUGUCACAGCAGCCACGGAUCGCUCUCAAGACUCAUGUAUUAUCAAAAGCACGCAACACCACUCCCUCUCUCUUCCCCCAACACACACACACACACACACACACACCACACACACACACACACACGAUCAUGCUCUUCUUUUUAUACUCACUACUACUCUCUAUCUGUUUCUUUUUCUCCAUCACUCAGUCACAUAUGCGUUUUUUUUCCUCAGUUAACUUUUGAGACACCUUUAAUUUCAAAACAGUAGAAGUUUUAUAAGCUUUAAAAAAUUAGCCUCAUUAUUGCCACACGUGUCUCCUAUAAAACACCUCAUUAAAUGGGUUACAUACAUUUACAAGUUUGUACAUAGGCACUCAGAGUCAGACUAGCUGGCUAACCUAACAAACUAAUGUCAAAUUUUACUUUAGCUAGCUGAUGCAAAACGAGUUCAGAAAAGCCAAAAUUUUGCAGAGUUAGCUGGCAAAUGCAGCUCAAAGACAUACAUUCAUUCUCAAGCUGGUUAGCUAAAAAUGGUACAUGGUACAUAAACUGAGUUACUCAACAGAGUAAAAUUACUGUUUUUAUAUCUACGAUUAGUCUUGAACUCACUGCAGAAAUUGUUUUCAAAUUUUCAGUACGACUAACUUUUUAGUUCUGCUGGCAUUGGCCCUACUUGGCAAUUUGACGAUAUUUACCCACACACUCUCUGAUCUAGUUGGUCCAACUAUCAUUUUUGUGAAUAUUUAAUGCAGAAAAUGUAUAAGACUUUUUCCUCACUUCUGUAUGUCAUGAUAACAGAGCUGCCAAGCGUCACGCUUUGAGUGUGACAGUCACGCAGUUUGGCCCAUUCUCACACCACACGCCACACUUGACAUUUCUCACGCUUAUGUUUCCCCAUUCAAUACUCUGUAUUUAUUUUUUUCACGAUAAUAAACUUUGCUUGCCGUAGUUCGAGUAACUCUGAUUGACUGACCAAGAUAAUGAAUCCCAGACCAAUCCAUCAGUCCUUUGUGCCUAAAUCUAACCAACCACGGAAAGCACUACGCAACAUAAACCAAUCAGAAGCAAAGCAGGUCUUGGAAAAUAAAUUGACAGUUUAUUGACGAAUAAAUGUAUUUUGUCAAAAUUCUUGUUACAAUUUUCAUUAAUUAAUUAAGACUAGCAUUAGGAGGCCUCAGUGCAGGAAGAGCAGCUGGCAUGGAAGUGAGGACAUCAGUCUUAAGGUGUAAAUCGACGUUAAAAAAGGCCAAAAUUUUUACGCCGCCGGCCGGACACAUCAUGACACUAAAGUCUCAUUCUUGUCAUUUUCUGAAACUUGGCAGCCCUGUGAUAAGUCGUCAGAACUCCCCAUAGAAGCUUUAAGAAAGAACUACGCACACAAACUUAGCAGUAGAUUUAACCUCUGCGACCCAACCCUGAGGCUCACAGCUCUCUGAAACACCCCCCACAGCACUUUGAGUAUAAAUGUAAAGAGCAGUUAAACCAACCACCUUCAAAGUAAUUUCAACAAUUAUUCCUAUAAUACAGCCAAGGCCCCUUUUUUUACUACCUCCGAUGAUCUAGAGGGCAGAGUUUUAUGCCACAUUAGCCGCUCCUGUACCAUAAAGAACAUAGAGGGGAGAAAUUGGCCACCUGCAUACAUGAGGACCCUUUUUAUUUGACAUAAUCUGACAUUAAAGCAGGGUUCAUAUCCUACUAACCGCCUUGUGUAACUGGUCCUGUAAAAACAUUAUUUUCAAUAUUAUUGCAGGAAACUCUGCUAUUGUUCUGUCCACGCUGAUAAAAGUGGAGGUGCUUUACAGUUUAGGCUAAAGGGCCAAAUUGGGGGGCAUCAGUACCAGCUACACCUCUGUAAUUGGGUAAAUUUCAAGGAGGUGCUAUGAAAUACACCCCUGCAACUUUAAUAAGUUCCAGAGUCCGGGGCUCCAGGUUGCUGCUCCCAAGGUGCUGGUCUGAGUUGGCUAACAUUUAUCACAUAAACAUCUAACACUACUCCUGUUAAAGCAGACAAAUGCCUUCCUGCUCUACAAGCCCUUUCCUUAGCCAUCAGAAUCAGGACAACCAAUUCAGCUUUAAUAGUUAUCUAUGGAGUCCCUCGCAUGCAAUGAACACCCACAUUUAUUUCUCUGCUUUCUCCCAAUGAGGGUAAGUGGAUCAAUUAGUGCAGACUACAAGUUCAGCAUCUUUACACAUAGUAUCAAUUGUUAAGUUGAGCAACAGCAGGUCCCCAGAUUAUCUCAGAUCUGUACCUCCCCUCGCUCUCAUCCCUCCCGCUCUCCCUUCUUCCAGAUCCAAAGCUAGCCUCAUUACAAAUGAUCCUGUGAUACACACAACCUUGGCACACACCUUCGCGCUAAUGGCUCACAGAUUGAUUUUUAAUUAGCAGCACUUUUGGAUGGUGGCCAGCUCAAAUGGACUUUUAUGAAAAACUAAUCACCUUUUAGCCUUAAGUGUCAAAAGGUGUAAGUAGAAGGUUAAAAGUCUUAACUAUAUCUGAAUAGUCACAAUAAAUAAAAACUCAUAAACCUCAUUAGUCACAUGAUUCUAACAUUUGUAAGACUUGUUCUAGUGUCUUUGAGUUGAAAAAAAAAAUAAGGGAGUUUCACAGAGUACAAAGACGGACUUCUUAAAGUUCUGCACUGGUGCAGACCACAGAGGAGAUGGAAAGUGGGUCAGGUCAGAUUUAGUCAAAAGGGUUGCUGAAAAUUUCUGGCCAAUGAAACGUCAGUUCACAUUAAACAAGCAGGUCAGCUGAGACCAGAACUGUGGACCCAGUGAGCUCAUCUGGCACAAGUUCACUAUCAAAGUGUACCCAGCUUUGAUAAACUGGGGCAGUAUUUACGAUGGCAAAAAGAGACAUGGACCACAUCUGUAAUGUUUUAGGCCCAGAUGUGCACACUUUGAUUCUCCUGGUGAAGCACAUGGAGUCUGUGGCAGAGGUGUACAAAGGAUUGGUUUAUUUUUAACCGGUUAUUGUCAUAUCCUCAGUAGUACUAUUUCUAUUGUUAUAGAUUGUAUAAUUCUUUCUACACCAUUUUUUAUCAUUUAUGUAAAUUAUUUCUGCUGUAAAUUUCUAGUGCUGAAUUCUCGCAGGGCAAUUUAAUGCAAACAUGAUUUACAGGCAGUUUACAAUCCUGAGCGCCCUUAAUUUAGAAAUAGGGAUAUCUAUAGAGAUGUUGCUCUAUGUCCUCUCUGGUCAUCAGCAUUUAAAUAUAUUAACACUUUUUAAAAUUUUUACUGAUAUUCUAUUUCUUCUCAUAUUGCUAUACUGUAAUUACUGUUGUGUUUUGUCUGCUUUUAUACAAAGAAUAGCUGUUCAUGACUGCCCUUCUCACAAUGACCCCCAUGUCUUUCUCUCUUUUUUUCCUGAAAACUAUUUUUGGUGGACUCCAUCCUUAGCAAAAUUAAAGAGAAAGAGUUUCAGUUCUAAAUGAAAAAAGUCAAAAAGGUUAAGUGACUGAACAGUGUCGUAUGUACAGUAUAUGUUUUGAAGAAGUAAUAUUGAGCUAUAUCUGGUCAUCAGGUUCUAGGCUGAAACACUCCCCCUGUUGGUGAAGCCACACUGACCUUCCAGGACAAAAAACGGCUCCAAUGAAUAUAAGUAUGAUCUUUCAUUUGUUAAGUUUUUACCAUCAAAAACAGUUAACAACAACUUUUCUCUUCUUCCUCAUCUUCUAACGGGAUAACUUAACUCUACCACUCACUAACAAUUAUUACUAGUUUGUCUGCUCUGUACUAUGGUAGAAACAUGUAGUUCAAGAUAGCACCCUCUGUGGAGAGGAGCCUGCUCCAAUGUUGACAUAUAAAUCAUCUUUUUAAAUAAACAAAACAAAAUAAUUUUCUGAUUCGGCUGUUUAAACAUUUAAAUAUCUGCUUAAUGCUGCUGAACAUUGCACACUGCAUCUUUAAAAAAAAUAUAUGUUAAAAAAGGAAACUGGAAAGUACAGUGGAGAGUUGAGCUGUAUGUUUAUUUACUCUCUUACUUUACAUUUAUAUUACCAGAAAUGACUUGACUAAUGCUUAAUGACUAGAAAUGACUAAUGCUAAACUGAAGUUACAUUUAAGACCAAACAACAAAUUAUGACAUCAAAUUAUGAGUUUAUACUGCAUUUACUCAAGAAACCCUAUUUUUAAAAAGUGUAUCUUCUUUUUAUUCUACAUGUGUUUAACAUUUCGAUAUGUAUAUAUACAACUGAAGCUUGAGUUUCAAUGUUUGCUUACAUUGGCAUGAGAUCAAAAACCUUCUUGGGACACAUGAGUUGGCACAAACAACCAAAUCAUGCUCUUUAUACAAAUAAAACAGUCCUUGUGGUCGCAUGGUGAACACAUGUUCAACUCUGCAGGAAUAAAUGAUAAAUCUUACAACCAAAAUGCAAGCUGUAUAAAAAUAUACAGUUUAUACUGCGUAUUGCAUCAUAUGUGUUCACAUAUGUUUGCAUUACUUUACCUUAUUUCUGUGUGUGUGUGUGUGUGUGUGUGUGUGUGUGUGUGUGUUUGUGUGUGUGUGUGUGUGUGUGUGUGUGUGUGUGUGUGUGUGUGUGUGUGUUUACCUUGGGUGGUAUUCAUAGUUUCCUGGGUGUUCAGGGCUAACACACAUUUGCAGCAGCUCCACACACACACACAUUCACACAUCUGACCUAACAAUCCACUCAACAGUAAUUUAUCGGUGCGAUCCAUCAUUAUCAUGUUUUAUUAUGGCCACCGUUGGAGAUAUAAUUCACAAAUAGGCACGUGCUGUACGGAUGACAGUGAGGGAGAGGGAUGUCCUUUACCUUCGUCCUCUGCCAGGAGCCUUCAGGAGUCUCUGUGGUCCUACAUGCAGGACACCAGGCUCUGAAUGGGCAGGGAGGCUGGGGGUCUCUAGAGUGGGAGCUUGCCCUGUUAGCCCGCUGCAUUGUGGGCCAGCAGGACUCCCAUUAUGAGCCAAAGAGAGAAAGUGAACCAGAGCAACGGCAAAGCGGUGUGGGUGCCAUGUCACAUGACUGCGUUUGUAUUCGGCAGCCAUAACUCACUGCCGGUGCGUGGGGAUUGAUCCCAGGCCGGACACUCCCCGGAGGAGUCCUGGCACUCAGCUGAGUUUGAUCCCAUAGAUUAAUGCAAUAGGGAUUCCUGGUCCAGGCCUUUGUCUCCAGCCAAACACUUACAACCCCAGAAUUUGUAUCCAGCAAAGGUUGAGUCCCAUGUUUAUUUGGGUAAUGAAUUGCUGUAAUUAAUGCACCUAUUGAUUCUCCCUCAGUGUCUCCUACAAAGGCCAGUCCGAUUUCUAAUUUAAAGGGAGCGGGAGUGUUAGCAAGAGGAUGAGGGGGGAAAACGGGAGGAGAGCCCAGUAUAGGCAAAACAAUUGCACUAUGUGCUGGCAGAAUGAGAGUGUAAUUGUUCAAUGAAUCACAUUUGAAUACAUUCAAUUAAAUCUUUCAAGUGCAGGGCGUCUGUGCAUGUGCUGUUAUAUCACUUUGGUUUGUCCCUCUUGUGUUGUAAUAAAAAUGUAAAUCCUUGGAGGGCAUCUGAGAGCGGCUGAGGACGUUUGCCAGGUAGCGUCUCCGAGCUGCGGUGUCACGCUAAUAACCACAAUGCAAUUUUCUCACACAAACAGGCAGGAGUGCAUUAGCAUAUAAUCCUCGAAUUAUGACUAUUCUUGUUUUCAUCACUGUGCCCAUAAAGGCAAAGUAAAAAAUGCUCAUAGAGGAAAUUUCUGAGCAGUUUUAAUAUAUAAGAGGUUUCCAGCUAGCAAUUUGUACCAUAAUGAAAAUGUAACAUUCGUUUCAGUCAUGUGUGUGUGCGGGUGUGUUUGUGUGUCUUUUCUCUCUUGCUCUUGAUCUGAGACCUUCGCUGGGCUCCUUCAAACGCGGUCUACGUCCUUCCCCUUGCCGUGGGGCUGUGUGCUAGUGCCCUGUGUAAACACCUGGUCACCUCUGCUGUGCUACGUCUGACCGCAGAACAAUGAACAGCCAGCUGCUCCAUCUAUUAUUGUUUAUCCAGGUUCACCUCAAGAAUUGCAAUCCCCCCCCUCUCCUCUUCUCUGCCCCUCCCCUGUGAGUAAUUACAAGAAAAUGAGCCUUUGACCUUUGAUGUAUAUUGGAAAAAAACUUUAAGCGCAAUAUUGUCAAUGUGUGUGUAUUGAUCACAACUGUAAUUACUACUAAACACCUCCUGAGGUGGGUGCUUGUACUGUUUGAAAGAAGUCUGCUGCAGUGUAAUAAAUUACAUGGUAAAGCACAGAUAAGUCCAAUCAUGAGCCAGUCUAUUAGAUUUGUUUUUUCCUAGCAUUAAACGUGUUAUUUAACUUGCUUUGAAAUUCAAAGAGAGCUCUUGAUUGUGUGAGUAACAACAAUGAAACAGGGCUAGUUACCCAACUCAUUAAUAACACACUUUAAGUAAAUCAUAGCCGGCCAGUUGAGUCUAUUUCUCGGUUUUCACCAUUCUAACAACAGUGAUGAUGAAAAAUGAUUCCUUCCAGCCUCCUAGAUUUUCUAAGAACCUAUGGCAUGCCUUAUUAAAGACAAAAUAGGUAGAAGACUAAUUAAGCAGACCAAAUAGGAAUGACGGCAUGCCCAACUGCCAGAGCCAAGUAAGGGCUUGAAAAAUGGCUCCUCUGCUAUUUCAAUUAAUCAGUUGUAUUUUGCUUAAUUUUGUUUGACGUUGGCACAGGAAAUGUCCUCUGGGAGUAUCUGUCCUUUGACCACUAAUGCUUUAGUAAUUCUUCUAUCAGUAGGAACCGUGAUUGAAACAAUCGAGUGUGUGUCUGAGUGUGUGUGGGCACUUUCUUUUGUGUGCAUAUCCACAUUUUCACUGCUUACAGUGAAUAUAUGCACCUGUACGUAUUUGAGGAACAGAGCAGUGAGCGUCAGCCUUUCAUUCAUUCAUUUAUGGCACGUUCCUCUUUUUUUCCCUCCCCCCCUUGUAGGUUGAUUGCAAAGCCCACACAACUGAGAGUGGGACCUGAUUAACCUUACAGUGACUCCAGAAGCAUGUGACCACCGCUGCUUCCCCAACGCCCAGGAAGGAGAUGUUGAGCUUAACCUGUGCUACAGUGAUGAAUUAACAAUAGAGCAAUUCAAUGCCCCAGUAAUUACCAAACACUUUGGACACAGGAGCAUUUUUCAGCCCUGCCACACAGGUUUUUGUUGGUAUUGGUGGCUUUCACCUGGAAUCCUGGGGCUCUUUGCUCUUCCUAACUUUGUUUUCUCUGACGCAGAUUAGAUCUGCCACCCCAUUACAGAUUCAUUUUCCUAAUUUUUCAUGUCUGCGCCGCGCCCCAUCUGCACAGGCCUGAUAAUUGUGGGGACCAGCCCUGGUGAUUAACAUCAGCAGAAUUAAUUACGCCCGCCAUUAAGGCUCCAGGUUGCACACAAUGAUCAAGAGAAAUUAACUUUCUCCCAGGCCCCUAAAUCAUCUCACCUUCAAGUGGAGUGAUGGCAAAGAGACAGGCCGGGAGUCCUGGACCCUGCUCGGCACCUUCUAAACCAAACAUGAGGUGCGCAUCCCGCACCCGCACCGUUUCCCACCGAGGAGAUUAUAGCCAGGGCUGAUGGGUAUCAAUUACGCCACCUUAUGUGGUGGGAUGAGCGAGGGGUGUCCGGGGUCUGGUGACUAAUGGAGCUGGGUUGGAGCCACCCUGCAGCAGGAGACCAGAGGAGCUGACUGCUUCUCUGGCCAGGGAGCAGCCGCCAGAUGCUGAGGGGGCUCUGAUCAGCGGCCUGACACACACAGGUAGAGAUUGGCACAGAACAUUUGACUGUGCACUAUGGGGUGGGGUGUCCAUGUGAUUGUGGGCUACAUAGGUGAUGUAGCAAAAGACUUUUUCACCUGAGCGAAGACGUCUGGCCACAGACAGUGUAUUCUCUUAGCAAGUAUAAAACUUCACCUAAAAAAGAAAGACGAAAUUUGAAUUUAUGUUUAGUUAGCACAUUCAAGGAUGGGAUAUUUUGAUUGUCUUGCAGCUUGGACGAUAUCCGCAGAUUGUGGCCCCCUUUGAGAGAGAGUGAUGUGUUUGUAAGCUAUGCUAAUAGAGCAGGCCCCGUGCCCCCGCAGCAGGGAGAACAGUGGUAAUGUCAGGAGGAGAUAAGCAAAUUGCGUCUGCAUCAUAUUGACUUGUCAAGGUUAAGCAGUGAGAGCAGGGGGAGGAGUAAGAGCUCCAAAAACUCUCUGUCUCUCCCACUUCCUUUACUACUUAGAAUAUAUGUUGGAAGCAGGAAGAGAAGCUGAAAAAGAGAGUAAGAAGGAGGAGGGUAUAGCUUAUUUAACCUCCGAUGACAGUCAGUGUUGAGAUAGUGAUCACACAGAGCAAACAACAGACACACAUCAGUACAGGGAGGGUUUGGCUCUCUGCUCUCGUUUACACUGAUUUGAUUUAGCUCCACGGGAUCUAAUUAAGCUCAGAGUCGAGCCUCUUUGGAGUUUCAGCAGCCAUAUUGUGAAUGCCAGGCUUUGAGAAAUGGCCACAAGCGAUCAAAAUCUGUGUAUGUGUUUUUAUUAACACACAUCAUAGUGAAAGAAUAACGGCUGUCAGUGGAGGGGGGGGGGAAACGGAUAAUAAAACAUGAUGAUCGUUAUGCAUAAGGGGACAUGUGAAUUUUGAUGACAGCAAAUGCCAUGUGUGUUAAAAAAAAACAAUAACCAAACAGUAACUGUUAUGGCUUUGCCAAGUUGUCUCGCACAAAAAAAAAAAAAAGUGAAAAUUGCUCUAAAAAGAAAAACACCAGCUCUGCCUGAGGUCCAUCCCAUGGUGAUUGUCACAGAGCUCUAAUUAGCUGGAGCAGUUUUGCUUGAAUUCAGGGUAUAAUCCCCUGGAUGAAGUGCAGUCAGCAUCUUUUUCUUUUCCUAAAAGCACGAGAGGUGCAGUAUCAUCAACUCCAUCUUCGCUCCAACACUGCCUCUGGAUGAUUUAAUAAGGUUAAAAGACUAGUCAGCAAUUACCCCCUGCUCAGAGGAGGAAAACUCUGAAGCACAAUCGCAUUACAGCUGUAGACAAAUGCCAGGCACUACAAACACAAAGAAAGCAGCGCACUUUGCCUUCUAUUUUUUUAAUAAUACAUAUUCACUUUGUUAAAAACUUCUUCUAAAUCUCGAUUAUCCAGGUGUCUUUGUGUCUGUUCCAGAGCUUUGUAACGGUCCGACUUGAGACAGUCCAGAGAGUGUCAUAGAGUGACAUUUACUGCCUCUGCUGUGGGGAAACAGGUAAGCAGAGCACACCAUCUACAAAGUAGUCCCCUUUGACACCAGCACUCUACAAAUCAGGGCUGAAGGGCAGGCCAGGCCGGGUGAGGGGAGGGCGCUGACACACAGAGGUCCUUUAGAGUUCCAGCAUGGCCCAGGAAUGUGGCAGAACAAGCAGACGUCUGGGAUUUGUCUGGCACCAUGUUUGAUUUUUACUAACCUCAACAUGGGACAACUCAAGGGGAGCGAAGUGUCUGGUCAUGGCCUGUCCCACUGAACUAACCCCAUACCUGCUUUACAGUGAUAAAAGUUUCAACCUUGAGAAGUGCUCGUGGGGGGUUUCCUCGCUAUUGAAAUUAGUCCUCCUAGUUGCACUUAUUAGAUAAUACUUCCUGUAUUAGUGAUAGGAGGCAGAUUUACAGCUCUCCGUGGUGGGCGACUCGCUCUAACAUGAGUCGUGUUAACUCUGCUCAUUAAAUAGAGGAUGUCAUCACUCCACGCCACCGCUGGAUCUAACAUGUCACACAUAUCCUCCAUAGGCCGGCCUGUGUCCACCCUCUGUCCAUAACAUCCUCUAAAUCUGUCAUUGCCGCCUGAAGCAGGGUCCCACAAUUUGACCACACCGCCCAUACACGCAGGUUUAUACGUGAGUGUGGCAGGCACAUGUGGAGGGAAAAAUGCAGGUGUUUGUGUGGACGGAUGUGUGGGACAGCAGCAGGGCCGUCCACAUUGGGAGAGGUGUGGGUUCAUUACAGACCCUGCUCUGUGCGUGUACAUGGGCCAGAUAAGCAGAACAGGACAAGAUAAGGGAGCGAGGCCGGCUGCAGCAAAGUGCAGCCUGAUAUCCUGAUGCCUCCACCAGAUGAAACAGGGUUCAGCCUCUCCCUGAUUCUUUACUCUAUUGUUCACCCAAGAAAGCACUUUUUAACAAACUAUUCCCUGUUUGGUUCAAAUCAAUGCAGGAACAAACUGCUGAAGCUGCAGGCUUUGUGCUGCAUGUAAUUACUAUAAGAAAAGCAUUGAAUUGAAGAAAAAAGUUACUGGACAAAAACAGUAUUUUGACCUUACCGUCUUAAUUUAACAUUUGCAUCAUACUGAAUCUGUGCUGAUGCAUUAUUUUAACUGAAUAUACCAUUACAUGCCAAAUAUCUCUAUUGCAGAAAAUCUGGUACACUCCUCAUAUGCAGUACUGUGCAUAACAAAGUUACAAUGAGAAGAAGCUUUUCACUUAUUGGGUCUCAGUGUUAUAAACAUUUGCAUGAGAAAACAGCGAAGGGCUUUCAGAUCAGGUUCAACCUCAUGCUUGAGGCUCCCUCCAAAGUUUUGUUGAAGCAUUGCAUGCGAUUCAUUUAUCAAAGCAUCUACAGACAUCAAGAAAUAAAAGUGGGGCAAUGAAAGGGGUUCAAAGUUGUGAAACUUGAUUGUCUUAAUGUAAAAUUCUGACCUUAAAAAAUGAAGAAAUAACUAGUUUUAAUGAAGAUAAUUUGCAAGGUUGGUAAAAACAAUAACAAGUCUGUAUAUAUGAUUUAUUUUCAGUACAUACAGAUUAUUUUAACUUGGGGAUUGUUGAAUUAAUUCCAUGUUUCGACCUCUGGGAGUAGCUUACUCACAGCAGCUAUUUGAGCAGCUCCCUAAAACAAUCAGAGCCCUUUGAAACUAACUCUACCCCCUGAUUGGAAUUUUCUCUCAUGUAUGUUUAUUGUGUGUUUUAUGAGUUGAAACUGGAUCUUUAUAAAGUCUAAAAUGUGCAUUAAAAUGCACUGGUAGUAAUCAUUUCUGUAACUGGAUAAAAGGCCGUUGAGGAUUAGCUUGGGUCCUCUUGCAAAAUGACCCAUGCCAGCACCGACUAUUAUACUUCAUUAGUCACUGACCCCCGGGACCAGGCAGGCCUUAUGCUUACUCUUUUUUUAAAUGAGUAUCUCCUCAUAGAAAACACUACAGAAAUAUGUUUAUCUGUGUACUCAGAACACGUUUCAAUGCGUCUGUAGCUAUUUUUACUUUCUGUGGUGUAGAAGUCCAUGCUUGCGUCCACCAUGUGCAUUUUUUGUGUGUGUGUUCAUGUGUGUAAACCAAUAUUGAAUCACCAGGUGUAGAGGUCAUAAUUCAGCAGCCUCGUAGUGAUGCAGAUGAUGUUUACUGUAUCCAAGUGGUGCCAUUAGACAUCAUGUCUGCACAACUUUACCCGUUGCCUCUCCACCCAUAGAUUGCUCCUCUCAUCAUCAACAGUGCAAUCAUUCUCAGUGAGAGUAAAGCACAGGGGAGAGGAGAGGAGCCGGCCCGCCAAGAUGGAUGUGUGUUAUUGUUUGUGGGAUGACAGUGUGUUUCAAUCAGCUCCUCUGUGCUCUAAUCCCAGGUAGAGCUCUUGAAGUGCUGAGUCAGUUACUGCCUCAUCGAUCCAUCACAGUGGGUUAGUAGUGGGCAGGUGUACUCCCGGGCUCCCAGGAGAGCGAGGAAACACCUGCCCUGCACUGCUCGGGACUUCAUCAUCCCGCCAUUCCUUUGUCUCCUUCUGCCGGGAGCUCAACGUCGGGGCCACAGAAAAACUGUGAAAGCAGCACUUUUGUGGUCGUUUGUUGCCCGUACACAAAAAUUAAAAGAAGGGGAGAGAUGGUUUUCCCUUGCCUCCCACACCUACUCCCCCCCUCCUUCAGUUUUCUCUCACCCAGGAAGAGGGGACACACUCUGAAUGGACCGCACACAACACAACAGACACUACAGCCUCCCAGCAUUUAAUAGAGAGCAGCCAUGCAGGGUAAAGCACCAAAACACAGUCCCCAAAUCU
rnacentral:lncRNA from 1 species